GACGAACGCUGGCGGCGUGCUUAACACAUGCAAGUCGAGCGGUAAGGCCCUUUCGGGGGUACACGAGCGGCGAACGGGUGAGUAACACGUGGGUGACCUGCCCUCAGCUCUGGGAUAAGCCUGGGAAACUGGGUCUAAUACUGGAUAUGACUCCACGGUGCAUGUCGUGGGGUGGAAAGCCUUGUGCGGCUGAGGAUGGGCCCGCGGCCUAUCAGCUUGUUGGUGGGGUGAUGGCCUACCAAGGCGACGACGGGUAGCCGGCCUGAGAGGGCGACCGGCCACACUGGGACUGAGACACGGCCCAGACUCCUACGGGAGGCAGCAGUGGGGAAUCUUGCGCAAUGGGCGAAAGCCUGACGCAGCGACGCCGCGUGAGGGAUGACGGCCUCGGUUGUAACGUACUUCUA
rnacentral:rRNA from 1 species